rnacentral:rRNA from 1 species
UGCCAGCCGCCGCGGUAAUACGGAGGGUGCAAGCAUUAAUCGGAUUUACUGGGCGUAAAGGGUGCGUAGGCGGAAGUGUAAGUCAGGUGUGAAAUUCCGGGGCUCAACCCCGGAGCUGCAUUUGAAACUACAUUUCUAGAGGAUAGGCGGAGAAAACAGAAUUCCACAAGUAGCGGUGAAAUGCGUAGAUAUGUGGAGGAAUACCCGUGGCGAAGGCGGUUUUCUAGCUUACUCCUGACGCUAAGGCACGAAAGCAUGGGGAGCGAACAGGAUUAGAUA